rnacentral:rRNA from 1 species
GAUGAACGCUGGCGGCGUGCCUAAUACAUGCAAGUCGAGCGAACGGACGAGAAGCUUGCUUCUCUGAUGUUAGCGGCGGACGGGUGAGUAACACGUGGAUAACCUACCUAUAAGACUGGGAUAACUUCUGGAAACCGGAGCUAAUACCGGAUAAUAUUUUGAACCGCAUGGUUCAAAAGUGAAAGACGGUCUUGCUGUCACUUAUAGAUGGAUCUGCGCGUCAUUAGCUAUUUGGUAAGGUAACGGCUUACCAAGGCAACGAUACGUAGCCGACCUGAGAGGGAGAUCGGCCACAUUGGAAUUGAGACACGGUCCAGACUCCUCCGGGAGGCAGAGGUAGGGAAGUUUACAAAAUGGGGGAAAGCCUGACGGAGCAACGCAGCGUGGGUGAUGAAGUUCUUCGGUUCGAAAAACUCUGUUAUUGGGGAAGAACAUGGGGGUAAGUAACUGUGCACAUCUUGACGGUACCUAAACAGAAAGCCACGGCUAACUCCGUG